rnacentral:rRNA from 1 species
GACGAACGCUGGCGGCGUGCCUAAUACAUGCCAGUCGAACGCUUCUUUCCUCCCGAGUGCUUGCACUCAAUUGGAAAGAGGAGUGGCGGACGGGUGAGUAACACGUGGGUAACCUACCCAUCAGAGGGGGAUAACACUUGGAAACAGGUGCUAAUACCGCAUAACAGUUUAUGCCGCAUGGCAUAAGAGUGAAAGGCGCUUUCGGGUGUCGCUGAUGGAUGGACCCGCGGUGCAUUAGCUAGUUGGUGAGGUAACGGCUCACCAAGGCCACGAUGCAUAGCCGAACGGAGAGGGUGAUCGGCCACACUGGGACUGAGACACGGCCCAGACUCCUACGGGAGGCAGCAGUAGGGAAUCUUCGGCAAUGGACGAAAGUCUGACCGAGCAACGCCGCGUGAGUGAAGAAGGUUUUCGGAUCGUAAAACUCUGUUGUUAGAGAAGAACAAGGACGUUAGUAACUGAACGUCCCCUGACGGUAUCUAACCAGAAAGCCACGGCUAACUACGUG